rnacentral:rRNA from 1 species
AGAGCACUGGAUGAGCUAGGGGGACCACAAUCUUACCGAACUCAACCAAACUCCGAAUACCCGUGACAACAGGCCGGGACUCAGGCGUUGGGAGCUAAGUUUUCAGCGCCAAGAGGGAAAGAACCCAGAUCGUCAGCUAAGGUCCCCAAGUCGUGACUAAGUGGGAAAGGAUGUGGGAGCGCUUAGACAGCCAGGAGGUUGGCUUAGAAGCAGCCAUCCUUCAAAGAAAGCGUAACAGCUCACUGGUCGAGCGAACCCGCGCCGAAAAUUCAACGGGUCUCAAGUCACGCACCGAAGCUACGGGUUUCUGCAAAGAAGCGGUAGGCGAGCAUUCUCUGUGCGGUGAAGGCGUACGGUAACGAGCGUUGGAGCGCAGAGAAGAGCUGAUGUUGGCGUGAGUAGCGAUAAAGAGAGUGAAAAACUCUCUCGCCGUAAACCCAAGGGUUCCUGGGUAAAGAUAAUCUGCUCAGGGUUAGUCGGUCCUAAGGCGAGGCCGAAAGGCGUAGUCGAUGGAAGCAGGCGAACAUCCU